GGGGAUUGGUCACUGACUUAAUCAGGGCCCUGGGAUUGGUUUCAGGACCAGUGCUGAUGGUGCAGAAUGGGAAUGACUUUCCGUGGUGUUGCUGUGUCAAGGGUCUGAGAUCUCGGCAUAGCCCAGUAAAUAAUUGAGACAGCAUCACUCCACCUAGAGAGAGGAUCAUCUACGUGAAAUGCAGAAGGGAGAAGCACAUUGAUGUCCAUACUGUAAACCUGUGAGCACAUCUUGCUGCCUUCGGCCCCUGUUCUUUACAGGAGUCCACUGCCUCUAGCUAUUCUCUUCAGAGGGUUAAUGCUGGGGAAACAGGGUCUAAAUAUCUGACUGGGGCGCAAUGUGCCUAACACUAAAACUGUGACCUGGAAUGCAAAUCAAAUGGUCUUACUUAAUGAAGAAAUGACAAGGAAUCAGUCGAUUUGGUUUUUUGGCACAUAGUUCUAAUUAUAUGACUGUUAUUUUAUUUGGAUUAUCUCAUUUUUCAGGAAGUUGCAUCCUGACCUCAGGAAGCCAAUCUUUGUCUUUCCAACAUCAUUUUAUACAUUUCCAAAGUCUUGACUAGAGAAUAUAUCAGGAAUUUUCCAUUUUAAUCAUAAUUUUGCCUCAACAAUAACAUAAAAAUGUUUUAUUCAUUUUUCUUACACACUAUUUGACUCUUCUGCCCUCUUUAUUUUGUUCUAAUUUGAUUGUGUGUUUGGCUCCGGCUGUGGGGGAACAGUGCAUUAGGAAGAGAGCCAUCACAUUUUGAGGGUCGCCAGCUGGCGAAAGUUUACAUUUGGUGGAUCCUACUUGCAGAAGAGUUGGUGA